GUCCUGUCUGCUUUCCUGAAAACUUCACAUGUUGACAGUCAGAAUAACUUUGCUCAUCUGGAUAUGAGACUUGAACAAUGGGAGAGUCCAACACAAUCCAGGCCUAAACCCACCAAAUCGGUGUCUGUUUCCCACUUACCUCCCUGGGGCACUGAUUCAUCAUUGACUCGGAGAAAGCUGUACAUCUUUGGUGUCAUCAGUCCCCCUUCCAGCAACGUGCUGGUUUUGUCUGGAGGUCUCCUAUCCAGUCACCAAAUAGGACAUGGUUUGCUGUGGAAAUCAAAGAAGAGCAGGUCAGGCUGCUCCGUCUCCAUAAACUCCAGCGUGUUGCUAUUUGUCACAAGACACCAGUAAAUGAACUUGUAUGGCUUUGAUGGUUUGUUCU